UACAGAGAGUGCAAACGUUUAUUCGGAAUCACUGGGCUUAAAGAGUCCGUAGGCGGCUUGUUAGGUGAGGUGUGAAAUCCCUCGGCCCAACCGAGGAAUUGCGCUUCAAACCGGCGAGCUUGAGGAGGAUAGAGGUGGGCGGAACUGAUGGUGGAGCGGUGAAAUGCGUUGAUAUCAUCAGGAACACCGGAGGCGAAAGCGGUCCACUGGGUCCUUUCUGACGCUGAGGGACGAAAGCUAGGGGAGCGAACGGG
rnacentral:rRNA from 1 species